ensembl:lncRNA
AUUCUUUGAUGAAUAAAAAGUUAAAAAGAAGAGCAUUUAUUUAAAAUAGAAAUCUUUUCUAACAAUAUACACUACCGUUCAAAAGUUUGGGGUCAGUACAUUUUUAUUCUUUCUUUUUUUGAAAGCAAUUAAAUCUUUUAUUCAGCAAGGAUGUGUUAAAUUGAUAAGAAGUGAUAGCAAAGAUUCAAAUUGUUAAAAAAUAUUUAUAUUUUGAAUAGAUGUUGUUCUUUUUAACUUUUUAAUCAUCAAAGAAUCCUGAAAGAUGUAUUGCAGUUUCCAAAAAAAUAAUUUAAAAAAAUAAAUAAAAAAUAUUGGCAGCACAACUGUUGCCAACAUUGAUAAUCCUAAUAAUAAAUCAGCAUAUUAGAAUGAUUUCUGAAGGAUCAUGUGACACUUUAUACAGGAGUAAUGGCUGAUGGAAAUUUAGCUUUGCAUCACAGAAAUAAAUUCUAUUUUAAAGGAUAUUAAAAUAGAAACAAUUAUUUUAUAUUGUAAUAACAUUUUGCAAGAUUACUGUUUUUUUUAUCAAAUAAAUGCAGCCUUCAUGAACAUAAGAGACUUCUUUAAAAAACAUUACAAGUUUUAUUAAUCCCAAACUUUUGAACGGCAGGGUAUUUGUAAAAGCUGCAUUAUUUGGAAAUGACUUCAUUACAGUUACAACCUAACUGUAACUGAAAUUGCAACUUAACAUAACUUUUUAUUAGAACAAAAUACUAGGUAUUUUCCAAGGAAAAACAAGUGGAUUGGCUGGCUGCUAAAAGAGAAAGUGCAAAGAAAGAAAGAAAAAGUAAGCAGCGUGUAUAUAUUCAGAAAGCAGAUGCAAAGCAGUGAGCAUUAAAAGCCAAGAGUGGGACUGCUGACAAGACAUGGACACUGUAUUCAGCAAUUUCACUGCUCUGGUGGAGAAGGUCUACUCAUUCUUCUGGGGGACAAGCAGCAGUUCAACAGCCAAUCAGAAUCAGACAGAGCCAUCAGAGAGCUGUAAUGAAAGUGACAUCCCAGUCACAAAACCUGCUGAAACAUGGGUGUCUGAGGUCCAGGAGGUUAGCAGUCCUGUACAUACCACUGUAAAUGCACAUUCAGGUCAUUAUGGUAUGAAACAUCUACUUUAUAACUCUAACCCUAUAAAAUCAAUUCUCAAUCAAGAAAAUCGAUGUUAUUUAAUAAUUGUUUUGCUCUGUUAUUUUAGAUCAUCCACACAUCCUGAUACAGAACUCAAACUCAUUCAGUGA